GACUGCUCCGGUGGUCAAAGUGGUUAAAGAAUCUACCUCAAAUGCGGGAGGUGACGGGUUCGAUCCCCGGCUGAGUUA